CAGAGUUCGGUCCUCAGGAUCGGGGAGGAGAUGCCGGGAGACAGCUGGUGCGAUCGCUGGGCCGGUCGGGGAUCCGGAGCACAGGAGCCGGGCAGUCCAAGGAGCAGGCAACAGAAACCCGAGGCGCUCAGGCAGGACUCGUGGUCGGGGACAGAAGGCUGAGGUGCUCACCGGGGCGGAGACAGACGAACGGGUCGGGAACAGGCAGGGUCGAAACCGGGAGAUCAGUCCAAGGUAGAGCGCUGGAGAGACUUGCAUGUCGCGAAGAACAAUCUGGCAAUGACAGGCUGGGUGUGCAGUGCUUAUGUAGCGGGGCUGAUCGUGAAUGCGAAGCAGGUGUGGAAGGCAGGAGAGUGACUGAUUGUGGAUGCGGGGCAGGUGUGGAAGAUCGAGCUGGCAGAAAUGAAUUCACAGCCCGUUAAGGUUUUUCAAGUCCUGCAUAUACCCAAUUAUGCGGCUCUUCACUGAACAAGGUUUUACAAGGGAAGGUUAUUCAGGAGCAGCAUGCAUAUCUGAAAAGAAAACACAAGAUGGUCCAGCUUCAAAGAAACCACAGCUGUUGUGAAUUUGAGAAAAGCUUUUCUUUCUGUGACGCAUGAAAAGAUCUCAGCAAGUUCUUCCUGUUCUACCCCACUCGUCUUAAACUGGGUUACAUAUGUGCGGUGAGAAUGAAUCAACCGUAUUGCUUUAGUUAUGUUUGCUUUCAACUCCAAAUAAACUAUAAUUCCGCAGAGCUUGUCAAUUGUAGAUUGUGCUGAUUGCGAAGGCCAUUUUGGUAAAGCGAGUUCUACUAUAGGGAUAAAUAAAUGUUGCUUGACUAGUGUAAAUCCACCCAUCAUCCUUCAGAAUUCUACAAUUUAAUAUUUAUUCCUGAAACCCAGAUGUCAUCCUUCUGACGCAAGUUUUAUGACCCUUUAUUUAGUUGAAUCAACAACAAGGUUGAAAUAGACGUGUAGAAAAAAAAUACAUGAGUAAAGCAUCUCCCACUGUCAGUGGGUGGAAAACAAUUCAUGACAUGCAGGAAAAUGCAAAGCCAUGAAUAACAUGUUCUAUUAAGAGAGUGUUUUCAGGAUGACGUGUUUGUGUUGGCCAACCCUAGAAGCUAGUGUCCUGCAUCAAGCAUUGGAUAUGUUUUUUUCACAAAUUAACUGCACUAAUAUUUUUGGAGCGGGAUACCAUCUAAAAAGUAAAGUUAGGUAGGUAAAGUUAGGUAAAAAAAGUAAAAAGAUGACACACUAAACUUUUGAACUAUAGUCUCGUAAACUUGAGUUUCCUCAACAGGGCUGUAAAGGCAGACUAGUUGGUGUGAUGUCUUUGGAGUCUUAUUUGGCCCCUUUAUACGGGUAUACAGGUAAAAAAUUCAUGAAUGAGGUAUUUACUGACUUUUUUAAUAUUACAGAACAGAUGCUAUUAAAUAUCUUCAGCAUGUUAACAACAAGCCUUCUUUCAGGCAUCUAACCAAAAGAAAGAUUCAAAAGAGGUUUAAACAAACAAAACAAAAGGGAAAAGAGAACUAGAGGUGUAAAACGCAGGUUAUUCUUUUUAAGGCUUUAGUACUCUUUCCUGCAGUCUUCUGUUGGUAUUAUGUAAAUAAAAUAGGUGAAUGGAAACACAUUUAAUGUAACUGCUAUUGAAAAACAGUCAGACAAGAUUCUACCUAUUCUACCUAAAUAUUCUCACAGAGGGCCAUUGGAGGAUAGAAUCUGUCUGGGACCUUUGGCACAGCCCCCACCUGUCCGUUCUUUAUUUCUUUCUGACUCUCACUCACACGCAGACAAAACAGGUGUUUUCAGUAGUUCUACACAAAACAUCUUCAAAUAAAUCUUUAAAUUUACACUGUAAUCGUGAACCAACUUGAAAUUAAAAUCAGAUGAAAGAGAAUCUAAUGUUUACAGUUGUAAAAAAUUCAGAAAUUGCACCGACCUUUCCACACCACAGGCUUCUUAACAUGCAACUAUUUGCGCCACACUGAACCUAAGGGUAACAAGAAACCAGUUCUACCUGUUAUGAUCACACCUGCCUAGGGCUCUAAACUUGCCCUGGACAAUAAGGUCAACGGGGUGGAUGCUACGCCCAAC
ensembl:lncRNA